AUUGAACGCUGGCGGCGUGCCUAACACAUGCAAGUCGAGCGGUAACAGGUGUAGCAAUACAUGCUGACGAGCGGCGAACGGGUGAGUAAUGCUUCGGAAUCUACCCAAUGGUGGGGAAUAACCAGCCGAAAGGUUGGCUAAUACCGCAUACGUCCUACGGGAGAAAGCAGGGGAUCGUAAGACCUUGCGCCAAUGGAUGAGCCGAAGUCGGAUUAGCUAGUUGGUAGGGUAACGGCCUACCAAGGCGACGAUCCGUAGCUGGUCUGAGAGGACGACCAGCCACACUGGGACUGAGACACGGCCCAGACUCCUACGGGAGGCAGCAGUGGGGAAUAUUGGACAAUGGGGGAAACCCUGAUCCAGCGACGCCGCGUGUGUGAAGAAGGCCUGCGGGUUGUAAAGCACUUUUAGUGGGAUGAAAAGUUCAGGGCUAAUACCCCUGGAUCUUGACCUAACCCACAGAAAAGCACCGGCUAACUCUGUGCCAGCCGCUGUAAC
rnacentral:rRNA from 1 species